rnacentral:rRNA from 1 species
UACGUAGGGUGCAAGCGUUAAUCGGAAUUACUGGGCGUAAAGCGUGCGCAGGCGGUUUUGUAAGUCAGAUGUGAAAUGCCCGGGCUUAACCUGGGAACUGCAUUUGUGACUGCAUGGCUAGAGUUUGGCAGAGGGGGGUAGAAUUCCACGUGUAGCAGUGAAAUGCGCAGAUAUCAGGAGGAACACCAAUUGCGAAGGCAGCUCGCUGGGACGUUACUGACGCUGAGACGCGAAGGCGUGGGGAGCAAACAGG